UACGUAGGGCGCAAGCGUUAUCCGGAAUUAUUGGGCGUAAAGAGCUCGUAGGCGGUUUGUCGCGUCUGCCGUGAAAGUCCGGGGCUCAACUCCGGAUCUGCGGUGGGUACGGGCAGACUAGAGUGAUGUAGGGGAGACUGGAAUUCCUGGUGUAGCGGUGGAAUGCGCAGAUAUCAGGAGGAACACCGGUGGCGAAGGCGGGUCUCUGGGCAAUAACUGACGCUGAGGAGCGAAAGCGUGGGGAGCGAACAGG
rnacentral:rRNA from 1 species